rnacentral:rRNA from 1 species
UACGGGGGGAGCAAGCGUUGUUCGGAUUUACUGGGCGUAAAGGGCGCGUAGGCGGCCUCCGCAAGUCAGUUGUGAAAUCUCCGAGCUUAACUCGGAAAGGUCAACUGAUACUGCGGGACUAGAGUGCGGUAGGGGUGACUGGAAUUCCUGGUGUAGCGGUGGAAUGCGCAGAUAUCAGGAGGAACACCGAUGGCGAAGGCAGGUCACUGGGCCGCAACUGACGCUGAGGAGCGAAAGCAUGGGGAGCGAACAGG